UUUUGAAUGCUAUAAUAGUAAAUGCAGUAGCAAAGUGAAUAGACGGUGGCUAAUCCUCAGUAGGGGAUGAUGCCUAUGGUUUACAAAGGUUUUACUCCUAGAAAGGAAUAAAGCAUGUCUGUAUUUGAAGCAAUGACUUUAAUGUUGGCUUUUGCCACAUUGGUUGUGCUGAUACUAGACUUUAA
rnacentral:ncRNA from 12 species